rnacentral:tRNA from 1 species
GCCGAAGUGGCGGAAUGGUAGACGCAGCGGACUCAAAAUCCGCCGCUAGCGAUAGUGUGGGGGUUCGAGUCCCCCCUUCGGCACCA